GCCAGUCAACAGAGGAGAAAGGCCUGGAGCAAUGAUGUGAGGAAAAGCCUGACUGCAGGUACAGCUCAAGCCGGCUGUCUGGACCCCGCAGCAUCAGGACAAGGAUCCAGAGGCAGGACUGAAGACAUUGGUAAACUUGCUGUUGCUGGUGUGCUUGGGGGCAAGCUGUUCCUCACUUGACAACAGCAGAUGCAUCCACCCAGUCCCCAGCACAAGGCCAUGGGUCUCCCUUGUGAAAUCUGCUGUACUGGGAGGUGAGGAAAGAGUUUGGUGUUAAGGAGUGACCCCUCUGAUCAUCUUUCUUUCACUGCAGCAUGCACCUCAGUUGUUCAAGAAAGUUCCCACGGCUCUUUGGAAGAGACAGUUUGAAACAUUUUUGGGAGGAGAGAUGCAAAUGAAGUGACAUAAUCUUUCAUGUUAUUUAUUGCUUUACAGUUUGGGGAUAUGGGACUAGGUAUUCAGAAGUUUUCAAGUUAUUCACUUUUUACCAUUUUUGUGCUUUUGUUACUCAUUUAUAUUUGCAGUAAAGUUUUAGUCUUAUAAGUCUCUGUGUAUUUUCAAUCAAUGUACUGAUUGCUGUACUCAUUUUCAACACUUUUCCAGAUCAGCCACAAUGAGUUCUACAGUUUGACACAAACUUCCCUUGUGCAGGUCACCCUAAGGCCUUGGCUAGAACCCAAGAUCAAAAUCCCACUCCAAGUUUUGCAAGCUCUCCCAACCACCAACCCCUUUUUACAGGUCAUGCCUUCAGUAUUAAAAUUAAAUGUGCACUGAACACAAUACUUGUAUCCCUGAUCCGUGAAUUCAAGCUACUUUCUGGAGUUCUUUUCAAUGUUAACAUCUCCACCAGAACACAAAAGGAAAUUCUCAUGCCCUAGAUCGACCCAGACU